rfam:Macleaya cordata isolate BLH2017 scaffold8887, whole genome shotgun sequence.
UGGCUGUGAUGACUGGCAUCGUUUCUCGAUACUGAUACAUUUUUUCAUAUUCAGUGACCAAAUCUAAAUUGAUGACUUAUAUUUGUGCGUGUCUGAGCCUA